AGCAACCAUUUGUUGCAACCAAUCUUUGGGAAUAUUUUAAGUCUAAUGUAUUUAUGGACUAGGGUAGUUGGAAAAGGUUAAAUUUCAGUUCUGGCAUCUAAAAUUAUUCAGAAUAAGCUCACAUAUGAACCAGCUCAUCAGCCCCUAACUAGGUUUACAUUCUGGGAUUUUCUCAAUCCAAAAUUUCUAAAAGAUCACAUUUACCUAAAUCCAAAAUUUCUGCUUGGCAUAGAAUGCCUAAAUGUCCCAUUUGAAUUUGAAAGAGUAUACCUCUCUCUCUGAAGUCUUACGUUUAUGUACGUCAUUAUACUCAAACUUCCUUUUUGUUUACCCAGAACAUUCCCCAUCCUUGAUGCUGGUUCAAUCUGGGAUGGAGACAGUGCCUUGAUCAGGUCAAGAAUGAGACUUCAUGUGCUGGAAGGAGGAAGGAACAUAUAUGAUGAUCGUUUAACAUACUGGCUAAAAGGGAAGUAGUUUCCUGGGGAGAGAGAUGAAUUUAUGAACCCCCAUUGAAUUAGGUUACUGUCUACUCUUACUGAGAAAUCAAUUACUACCACUUUGUGGGAGCACAUCU